rnacentral:rRNA from 1 species
AUGAACGCUGGCGGCGUGCCUCAUACAUGCAAGUCGAGCGAACAGAUGAGGAGCUUGCUCCUCUGACGUUAGCGGCGGACGGGUGAGUAACACGUGGAUAACCUACCUAUAAGACUGGGAUAACUUCGGGAAACCGGAGCUAAUACCGGAUAAUAUAUUGAACCGCAUGGUUUAAUAGUGAAAGACGGUUUUGCUGUCACUUAUAGAUGGAUCCGCGCCGCAUUAGCUAGUUGGUAAGGUAACGGCUUACCAAGGCAACGAUGCGUAGCCGACCUGAGAGGGUGAUCGGCCACACUGGAACUGAGACACGGUCCAGACUCCUACGGGAGGCAGCAGUAGGGAAUCUUCCGCAAUGGGCGAAAGCCUGACGGAGCAACGCCGCGUGAGUGAUGAAGGUCUUCGGAUCGUAAAACUCUGUUAUUAGGGAAGAACAAAUGUGUAAGUAACUAUGCACGUCUUGACGGUACCUAAUCAGAAAGCCACGGCUAACUACGUG